rnacentral:rRNA from 1 species
CAGUAGCCACGGUAAUACGUAGGGUGCGAGCGUUAAUCGGAAUUACUGGGCGUAAAGCGUGCGCAGGCGGUUUUGUAAGACAGGCGUGAAAUCCCCGGGCUCAACCUGGGAAUGGCGCUUGUGACUGCAAAGCUAGAGUGCGGCAGAGGGGGAUGGAAUUCCGCGUGUAGCAGUGAAAUGCGUAGAUAUGCGGAGGAACACCGAUGGCGAAGGCAAUCCCCUGGGCCUGCACUGACGCUCAUGCACGAAAGCGUGGGGAGCAAACAGGAUUAGAUACCCCCGUAGUCCCUGUCUCUUAUAU